AUUGAACGCUGGCGGCAGGCCUAACACAUGCAAGUCGAACGAGUGGCGGACGGGUGAGUAAUGUCUGGGAAACUGCCCGAUGGAGGGGGAUAACUACUGGAAACGGUAGCUAAUACCGCAUACUAUCGGAUGAACCCAUAUGGGAUUAGCUAGUAGGUGGGGUAACGGCUCACCUAGGCGACGAUCCCUAGCUGGUCUGAGAGGAUGAUCAGCCACACUGGAACUGAGACACGGUCCAGACUCCUACGGGAGGCAGCAGUGGGGAAUAUUGCACAAUGGGCGCAAGCCUGAUGCAGCCAUGCCGCGUGUAUGAAGAAGGCCUUAGGGUUGUAAAGUACUUUCAGCGGGGAGGCGUUACCCGCAGAAGAAGCACCGGCUAACUCCGUGCCAGCAGCCGCGGUAAUAC
rnacentral:rRNA from 1 species